GUCAGUAUCCUCUGAUUAGUUCUGAGAAUUUGACACCCGAUAUAAAUAAUCAAAUGAUGUAAACUUUAUCAAUAAAUUGUGUGUGGUUUGCGGGUUUUAAAUAUGUUUGUCAUGAACAGUCAAUGGACUACCGUUUUGCUGCCACAUUUCUAUUGAUUGAUUUGCUAUAACAUCUGCUGCAUCAUCAGAAAUCUACAAAAAAUUACGUUUUUUAGGUAGUCCAGGGCCUGGUUCAAUGUUGUACAAGUGAGGAGUCUGUACUUCUGAUUAAUUAAUAAAGAAAUAACAGCAA